GCCAGACUCCUACGGGAGGCAGCAGUGGGGAAUAUUGCACAAUGGGGGAAACCCUGAUGCAGCAACGCCGCGUGAGCGAUGAAGUAUUUCGGUAUGUAAAGCUCUAUCAGCAGGGAAGAAGAUGACGGUACCUGACUAAGAAGCCCCGGCUAACUACGUGCCAGCAGCCGCGGUAAUACGUAGGGGGCAAGCGUUAUCCGGAUUUACUGGGUGUAAAGGGGGCGCAGACGGCGAUGCAAGCCAGGAGUGAAAGCCCGGGGCCCAACCCCGGGACUGCUCUUGGAACUGCGUGGCUGGAGUGCAGGAGGGGCAGGCGGAAUUCCUGGUGUAGCGGUGAAAUGCGUAGAUAUCAGGAGGAACACCGGCGGCGAAGGCGGCCUGCUGGACCGUAACUGACGUUGAGGCUCGAAAGCGUGGGGAGCAAACAGGAUUAGAUACCCCAGUA
rnacentral:rRNA from 1 species